rnacentral:rRNA from 1 species
UACAUGGGGUGCAAACGUUGCUCGGAAUUAUUGGGCGUAAAGCGCGCGUAGGCGGUUACUCAAGUCGGAUGUGAAAGCCCUCGGCUUAACUGAGGAAGUGCACCCGAAACUGACUAGCUAGAGUACUAAAGAGGGUCGCGGAAUUCCCGGUGUAGAGGUGAAAUUCGUAGAUAUCGGGAGGAACACCGGUGGCGAAGGCGGCGACCUGGGUAGAUACUGACGCUGAGGCGCGAAAGCGUGGGGAGCGAUCCGG